UUGUUUUCAGCACCACAUGUGCUAAAAUUGGAACAAUACACAUAAUAUUUUUAUGGCCCAGGUGCCAGGAUGGCUCAAACUCAUAAAGCAUUGUAUAGUUUG
rnacentral:snRNA from 1 species